UUGAUUAUAGUGUUGAUGCUAUUAACCAACUUCUUCGACCCGAAGCUCCCAUUGUUUUUUUGUUUAAUAUGACAAUAUCCAUGUAAUUUGAAUAUUUCUAGAAGUUGCAUCUUUUCUCUAUGGUUAAUUUUUAUGUUAUUCACACAAGUCUGGGAUUGCUCAUAGAAUAACAACGUUUUAUGUUUAGGGUGAUGGUCUUAAAAGAAAAUGUCAUAUAAAGAAAAUUAAAAAUUUAUUGUGAAAAGGUGGUACCAAUUAAAAAAAAGAUAAAUCAAAAGAGAAAAUUAGAAAACAAACAAAAAUAGAUGAAUGUGUUAGGGUGAAUAUGUGGUGUGUCUCACACAAAGGUGUUGCUCUAAAAAGAAGAAGUCUCACAAUGUUGAAUGCUUCCUAGUGAAAAAAAAC
rnacentral:lncRNA from 1 species